AGAGGCUUCGGCAAUGGGGGAAACCCUGACCGAGCGACGCCGCGUGAGGGAUGACGCCCUUCGGGGUGUAAACCUCUUUUCUGAGGGAAGAACCUUAUGGGGAGUAAUACGCCCUAUAACUGACGGUACCUCAGGAAUAAGCUCCGGCUAACUCCGUUCCCGCAGCCGCGGUAACACGGGGGGAGCAAACGUUGUUCGGAAUUACUGGGCGUAAAGGGCGCGUAGGCGGCCCAGCAAGUGGUGUGUGAAAUGCCCUGGCUCAACCAGGGAACUGCGCACCAAACUGUUGGGCUUGAGGGCAGUAGAGGAAGCUGGAAUUCCUGGUGUAGCGGUGAAAUGCGUAGAUAUCAGGAGGAACACCGUUGGCGAAGGCGAGCUUCUGGGCUGUCCCUGACGCUGAGGCGCGAAAGCUGGGGGAGCGAA
rnacentral:rRNA from 1 species